rnacentral:rRNA from 1 species
UUCAUUUAAAGAGUGCGUAACAGCUCACUAGUCGAGUGAUCGAGCGCGGAAAAUAAUCGGGCAUCAAGUGUACCACCGAAGCUAUGGAUUAGCAGCAAAUGCUGUUAGUGGUAGAGGAGCAUUCCAGUCUGCUGCGAAGGUGUAUCGUGAGGUAUGCUGGAGCGUCUGGAAAAGAAAAUGUAGGUAUAAGUAACGAUAAAAUAUGUGAGAAACAUAUUCGCCGUAAGACUAAGGGUUCCUGAUCAACGUUAAUCGGAUCAGGGUUAGUCGGGGCCUAAGGUGCACCCGAGAGGGGAAACCGAUGGGAAAGGAGUUAAUAUUCUUGUACCAGCUUAUGCUGCGAUGGGGUGACGGAGUAGUGAAAGUCCUGCGUACGGACGGAAGUGUACGUUAAAGGGUGUAGUUUAUGAGAGGGCCAGGCAAAUCCAGUCCUUGAGAUGAAACCCGAUAGUACCGCGAUCUUUUAAGAGAGCGGAUAAUGGACCUAAUCAUACUUCCAAGAAAAACCUCUAAGCUUCAGGCAUAAGCUGCCCGUACCGCAAACCGACACAGGUAGUCGAGGAGAGUAUCCUCAGGCGCUCGAGUGAUUCACGGCUAAGGAACUCGGCAAAAUAGACCCGUAACUUCGGGAGAAGGGUCGCCCCGCGCAAGCGGGGCCGCAGUAAAAAGGCUCAGGCGACUGUUUAGCAAAAACACAGGGCUCUGCAAAAUCGAAAGAUGAAGUAUAGGGCCUGACACCUGCCCGGUGCUGGAAGGUUAAGGAAGGUUGUUAGCCGCAAGGCAAAGCUUCCGACUGAAGCCCCAGUAAACGGCGGCCGUAACUAUAACGGUCCUAAGGUAGCGAAAUUCCUUGUCGGGUAAGUUCCGACCUGCACGAAUGGUGUAACGAUCUGAGCACUGUCUCGGCCGUGAGCUCGGUGAAAUUGUAGCCCCGGUGAAGAUGCCGGGUACCCGCAACGGGACGGAAAGACCCCGUGAACCUUCACUAUAGCUUUGCAUUGGUUUUGAGUAAAUAAUGUGUAGGAUAGGUGGGAGGCUGCGAAGCAGGCACGCUAGUGUUUGUGGAGCCGUCCUUGAAAUACCACCCUUUAUUUACUUAGAGUCUAACUCUUUGAAAGAGGACAGUGCAUGGUGGGUAGUUUGACUGGGGUGGUCGCCUCCAAAAGAGUAACGGAGGC